UUCCCAUUACUGUGGGAUAACCUGCCGAAAGGCAGACUAAUACCGCAUAGUCUUCGAUGACGGCAUCAGAUUUGAAGUAAAGAUUUAUCGGUAAUGGAUGGGGAUGCGUCUGAUUAGCUUGUUGGCGGGGUAACGGCCCACCAAGGCAACGAUCAGUAGGGGUUCUGAGAGGAAGGUCCCCCACAUUGGAACUGAGACACGGUCCAAACUCCUACGGGAGGCAGCAGUGAGGAAUAUUGGUCAAUGGACGGAAGUCUGAACCAGCCAAGUAGCGUGCAGGAUGACGGCCCUAUGGGUUGUAAACUGCUUUUGUAUGGGGAUAAAGUUAGGGACGUGUCCCUAUUUGCAGGUACCAUACGAAUAAGGACCGGCUAAUUCCGUGCCAGCAGCCACGGUAAUACGGAAGGUCCAGGCGUUAUCCGGAUUUAUUGGGUUUAAAGGGAGCGUAGGCUGGAGAUUAAGUGUGUUGUGAAAUGUAGACGCUCAACGUCUGAAUUGCAGCGCAUACUGGUUUCCUUGAGUACGCACAACGUUGGCGGAAUUCGUCGUGUAGCGGUGAAAUGCUUAGAUAUGACGAAGAACUCCGAUUGCGAAGGCAGCUGACGGGAGCGCAACUGACGCUUAAGCUCGAAGGUGCGGGUAUCAAACAGGAUUAGAUACCCUGGUAGUCCGCACAGUAAACGAUGGAUGCCCGCUGUUGGUACCUGGUAUCAGCGGCUAAGCGAAAGCAUUAAGCAUCCCACCUGGGGAG
rnacentral:rRNA from 1 species